rnacentral:miRNA from 1 species
UCAACGCUAAACUCGAUCAUG